rnacentral:rRNA from 1 species
AUUGAACGCUGGCGGCAGGCCUAACACAUGCAAGUCGAGCGAGAGGCGGACGGGUGAGUAAUGUCUGGGAAACUGCCUGAUGGAGGGGGAUAACUACUGGAAACGGUAGCUAAUACCGCAUACCAUCGGAUGUGCCCAGAUGGGAUUAGCUGGUUGGUGGGGUAAAGGCUCACCAAGGCGACGAUCCCUAGCUGGUCUGAGAGGAUGACCAGCCACACUGGAACUGAGACACGGUCCAGACUCCUACGGGAGGCAGCAGUGGGGAAUAUUGCACAAUGGGCGAAAGCCUGAUGCAGCCAUGCCGCGUGUAUGAAGAAGGCCUUCGGGUUGUAAAGUACUUUCAGCGGGGAGGCGUUACCCGCAGAAGAAGCACCGGCUAACUCCGUGCCAGCAGCCGCGGUAAUUC